GAGUGGUCUGAUGGGAAGCAAGGGAUCAGUAGUCUGACCCCUAGCGUUCCCCCUUCUUCCCUCGAUCCCCAACGCCCCCCGAUCCUAUCGCCGCCGCUGCCUACCACGCCUCCUACCGGCGUGCCAGCACCAACGCCUCCUUCCCGGCGCACCGUCGUCCCCGCCUCCUCCCGGCACGAGGCCGCCUCCAGACUCCUCCUGGGACGCCGUCGCCCCCGCCUUCCUCCUGGCGCGCCGCCGCCCCUGUCUUCUUCAACUGCCACCAUGGACCACCACCUCUGCCCCGAUCCACCUUGGUAGUGGAUCCUGAGCGCCGUCGCUGACCAUGGAUCCUGGGCGCCGCCGCCUGUCUUUGGAUCCCGCCCGCCGCCGCCGGGGUCCCCGACUGAAGACGACCAAGCCAUGGAUCCUGGGUGCCAUCGCGGGCCGUGGAUCCCGGGGCGGCACCGCCUAGCUCUGAUCCCGCCGGCCGCCACCGAGGUUCCCGACUGAAGAUGCCCUAUGCCGCGGCACUCAGGCCAUUCGCCACCGCCACCUCUUGCAGUUCACCGCCACCAUCCAGCGCGCCCCCGGUCGCCCCCAGGACGCCAGGAACCACCUGACUCCCCUGGUUCGCCUACAUCGUGGGAUCACUUCGCGUCGGUUCGCGAGGCCACAACCCCUGCCCUCCAAUUUCAUCACUUUUUUGUGUUUGUCCUCUGAAAAAAUUGGCCAUCGUUGCAGGCUAGCUUCACCAGAUUAUUCAGUUCAGCUCUAAACAAAUGAGCAUUAUACUUUGUUGUCCAGUUUUGGGAAGGUUGAAAUUGUUCCAGAAGGUGAAAAAUAUGUCCAAGUAUAUCAGCAGCUUUGGGAAGGUAGAAAUUGUUCCAGAAGGUGAAAAAUAUGUCCAAGUAUAUUUUCUAGAACACCGACACUCUCUGGACAUCAUUGGUAUAUGCUACAAUUAUCCCUCGAGAUCGAUGUUAUCAACCACUAUCAAAUAUUCCCUGGACAUCAUUGGUACUACUAAUCUCCACAUAUAUGCACAACUAAUUGCAAUCAGUCUGUUCUGAACACCUGCAGCAGGCAUGGCCUCAUGCUACAGUUCAACUUUCAAUUACCUGUUACAGAGAGCCUGACAGGACUUCCUCCGCCGACAGACACUGCACGCCAUGAGAAAGUUCAGGGAAUAUUUGAUAGUGGAAGCUACACUGUCACUGUGCACCACAGCUGAUAAAGUUUCUCCAAUAAUGCUGCACCUUUUAUUUCCUCA